rnacentral:rRNA from 1 species
AUUGAACGCUGGCGGCAGGCCUAACACAUGCAAGUCGAGCGGAGCGGCGGACGGGGGGGUAAUGCCUAGGAAUCUGCCUGGGAGUGAGGGAUAACUUCCGGAGACGGGAGCUAAUACCGCAUACUAGCAGAUGAGCUUACGUCGGAUUAGCUAGUUGGUGGGGUAACGGCUUACCAAGGAGACGAUCCGUAACUGGUCUGAGAGGAUGAUCAGUCACACUGGAACUGAGACACGGUCCAGACUCCUACGGGAGGCAGCAGUGGGGAAUAUUGCACAAUGGGCGAAAGCCUGAUCCAGCCAUGCCGCGUGUAUGAAGAAGGUCUUAGGGUUGUAAAGUACUUUAAGCGGGGAGGCGUUACCCACAGAAUAAGCACCGGCUAACUUCGUGCCAGCAGCCGCGGUAAUAC